rnacentral:rRNA from 1 species
GUGUCAGCAGCCGCGGUAAUACGAAGGGGGCUAGCGUUGUUCGGAAUUACUGGGCGUAAAGGGCGCGUAGGCGGUCCUGAUCGUCGGAUGUGAAAGGCCUGGGCUCAACCUGGGAACUGCAUCCGAUACGGCGGGACUGGAGUGUGGGAGAGGUUGGUGGAAUUCCCAGUGUAGAGGUGAAAUUCGUAGAUAUUGGGAAGAACACCGGUGGCGAAGGCGGCCAACUGGACCACAACUGACGCUGAGGCGCGAAAGCGUGGGGAGCAAACAGGAUUAGAUACCCUGGUAGUCCACGCUGUAAACGAUGCGUGCUAGACGUUGGGAGACCUAGUCUCUCGGUGUCGUCGCUAACGCUUUAAGCACGCCGCCUGGGGAGUACGGCCGCAAGGUUAAA